GUAGAUAAUAAAUGAUAACAAUCAUUUGAAGUGCAUAUUUAUUUUUCUUUCUCCUCCUUUAUUCUCCACCCUGAUUAAAACUGACUCAGAACACUGACAAUAUGUCUCAUUGAGUGUGACAGCACCAUCCAGUGGCCAAACACCAAACACACCAGAGACAGUACUUUUACUGUCUUAACUGUCUAGUUUUAAUGAGCAGUAAAAUACAAAGAAUGCCAGGUGAGGAAAGUCCCCAAAAACACCCAUAGAUCUUGAGGGGUUAAGUGUGUGUUUAAAUGAUCUGAUAAUAGAAAGUUUUACUCAAACAUGUGACAAACAGGAAACCCACACACACACACACAUAAAGAGUUUUCAUACAGAGCUGGCCUCAAACUUACAAAUAAGGUGUCUGUGUCAUUUCCUUCAGGAACUUCUGCUAUCAGAUGGAUUAAGCAAUAAGCAAGAAAAAUCAAGAAGUGUUUUGAGAGAAGGAUGAAUUAUCCUUCUCUGUUAGGACUUUGUCUUGUGUUUCUUACUUGGGCUUCAGCUGGACCUCCUACAGCUGAGCCCUUGCUGAUGUUUGCCUUAGAAGGGGACACAGUUACUUUGCCUUGUGGUAUACCUUCUAUUAAAUCCUGCUCCUCUGUUAACUGGCUGAAGUACGGGCAGUAUGGAACCACUGCCAGUGUGGCAGAGGACCGCACACACGUCCUGCUGUGGGACUGCUCUCUGAAGAUCACUCACUCUGUGCUGGACGAUGCAUGCCUGUACUCCUGUGUGAGUGGAACACACAUUUCAAAUGUUUCACUCCAGAUUCUUAAUGUGACUGAGAGUUUACCUCGUAAGGAUGACAUUAUAGAGCUGCACUGCAUCCUCAAUACAUUUAAAGGAUAUGUCCCCUGUAAAAACAAAGAGAUCCUUAUUAAGUGGAGCGCUGAGGAUGAUACACCAAUAAGUGGAGACAGAUUUACAUUCGAAAAUUCAUCAGACUGCUUCUCUAAAUUGAUCAUAAAGGAAAAACAAACGGAUCAUCACAGAAAAUGGCAGUGCCAUCUAACUCAGAAUGGUGAAAUUAAAGCCACCAGCGUCUAUACAACAACUGUGACAGAUGGAUUACAGGAAGUGUUUGGUGCAGUGGGUGAGUCAGUGUCACUAUCUUGUGGCCACACUUCCUCUUAUGGAGUGGAGUGGGCAAAGUGUGAAAAGCCACUGAUGCAUGACAUCACAUCCGAUAUGGUACCACAAGACACUUCCUUGGUCAUUAGCAAACUGACUGCACUGCAUGCUGCAGAUUACAAGUGUUCAGAAGCCACAGGUCAGCAUAGUGUGCUCAAUAAAAUCAGGCUGCACACACUCGAUGUUACUGCAGAGUCUGCCCCAGACGGAGAAUAUCUCAACCUGACUUGUGUGCUUACUUGUGCAAAAGAAUGUGACAAAGACUUCAAUUUAAGCUGGUCUGGAGGUGACCAGAAAGCCCUGCAGAGCAGAUUAAUGCAGGUCAAUAACACCUUAAGAAAGGAGAUAUUUCUCCCAGACGGGUUAAAGAGGUGGGAUGAAAUAACCUGCUCUGUGCACAGAGAGGGGGCUCUGAUGGCAUCGAAGAAGUGGCGCACUGUUAACCCGCUGCAAACCCCUGCGUGGUUAGUGCUUCCUCUGGGCCUCCUGAUAUGUGUGGCUGCUGGAGUGGUUUACAUGAAGAGGAAGCACAACAAGGAUGCAGCAAAUGAACAGUCAAGUAUUGGGAUGACUCAUGUUUAUGAAGUGAUUCGUGCUGAAGAGGAACCACAACAGCAGAGACAAAGCAACACAGAUACAACCACAACAACCAGCUUAUAUCAUUUAUUGCAGGCUGUAAAUUAGAGUGAAAUUUUUCAUUUGCUUUUUGGAAAAAAAAAAUUACACAAUAUAGAAAAAUCCUGGAUCUAAAAACAUGCUGGGUCACACCUGUUUAUAUAUAUGAAUGUACUUCCUGUCCUACUGUUUCUUCUUCUCUCGCUCUAAAUGUUACAAAUUCCCUUGCUAUUCAUCCAUUCUCUAAUAAAAAGAAACUGUUUGUUUUAGCCUUUAGCA
rnacentral:lncRNA from 1 species